rnacentral:rRNA from 2 species
UGCAGAAUCCCGUGAACCAUCGAGUCUUUGAACGUAAGUUGCGCCCAAAGCCAUUAGGCUUAGGGCACGUCUGCCUAGGCAUUA